rnacentral:rRNA from 1 species
AUGGCCAGCACCAUGAAGCAGGCUCUAGCUCUCGCUGCUCUCUUGAUCCUGCUCACCAACACCAACCUCAUUACCCUCGCAAGAGGCCCGAUCGCUGUAACCGGCAUUGGCGCUGGAGGAGGCUACGGUGGUGGUGGUGGUGGUGGAGAUGGAGAAGGCAGUGGAAGCGCCGGUUACAGUUAUGGCUAUGGUGGCGGUUAUGGCUUUGGCGGCGGCAUUGGUGGUGGACAUGGGGCUGGUGGUGGAGGUAGUAGCGUAUGGGCUCAGGGUAAGGCUCCAAUUACAGCAGACAUGUUAUGA